GAUUACAACGUAAUUGCAAGCUCUUCACAGCGAUAGCCCGUUCGCGGAGGGUGUCACGCGCUGGGAAUGAGCUGUGAAUUUAACUGGGCCCCUGUCUUGUCACAACGCAAAAGAUAUCAAGUACCAGUUUAUGGUGAGGCAACAUGACAUCCGAUACAUAUUGCCUAGCUGAUCCGAAGAAGCCCCCUUGACCCUUCAAGAAAUCGCAAGACCAUAUAAUUAAGAACCAACAGAACUAUGGAAACGAUGAAAACAAGAGAAGACCCACAUCACCUGAUGUGUCACCCGACCCCGACUCGACAUCUACACAAUUAGGCCUACCAGUGACAACGUGGUGACGUAGGACGCAUCUCCCAAAUAUGGGCCACUGCAGUAAUGGCGGCAAGCGACAGCUAAAUUGAAGAGUGUCGUCUGUAAAAUAAUCUAUCUGCACCUCAUAAACGAGAGGUUCACUUUUGGGAUUUGCAGAAAUAGUUGAAGAAUCAAAGUUAUUCAAUCUUGUGUUGUCGAUUUUACUCGUGAACGAUUUCCAUCUGAUAUAUGUACUGUUUUUCUCUCUGCUCACUAAAAUAAAUUGUUUUCAUUGAAAUCUUGUUUUAUGGUCUCUGACAACAAUCAGCCAUUGCUGUUUCUUUUUAUAAGUUUCUGUAAUACAGGGUGGCUGAUGCUGGAUGAGGUAGUUUUAGGCAAGGG